rnacentral:lncRNA from 1 species
UGUAAUUCAUGGAGCCUAUUAAAUUUGAGAGGCCUUUUUAUUCUCAUUUUUCUUUCAGUGUUAUGUGCUGAUCGCAGGGAGAUUAUUCUCUGGGGAGAGAUGUGCCCUACUCACCAGGGCCCGAGGAAUGCCUGUGUUUGUCUGUCUGGCAUUUGCUGUGGUCCUUAUGGACGCUUUCAGGGCUGCGUGCUGGAGGCUGCAAACGCAGCCAGCCCCAGGAGAAAACACAUCUGCUCCUGUCCUGACUCCUUUCUGCUGCUGCCCAAGGACUUUUGCUAUCAAAUUCAAAGGAAUCACCCAUAGUUGCAAUAUUAUAUGAAUGUAUUUGGAGAGCCUGGGUUUAGGGGCUGCUGGGCAGUGUGACAGGCACUCCCAGCACUGCCUGGGGCCAGCACAAACCCAUGCAAUGCAAACAAAAUGUUCUAGCAGGAAAAAUGGAUAUUUUCUGAUGGGUGAGGCUGGCAGUUGGGUGGUACAGUGAACCUCUGCAGAUUUCAAGAGAUUUCACAUAGGAAGAACGGACAAAACUUCUUCAGAGUCAUUUCAAGUAAACUUUCUUCUUGGGGUAACAGCU